GACGAACGCUGGCGGCGUGCCUAACACAUGCAAGUCGAACGGGGUAUUUCUUCGGAGAUACUUAGUGGCGAACGGGUGAGUAACGCGUGAGAAACCUGCCUUUCAGUGGGGGACAACAGUUGGAAACGACUGCUAAUACCGCAUAAUGUUAUUUAAGGGCAUCCUUGAAUAACCAAAGCUUUAUGUGCUGAAAGAUGGUCUCGCGUCUGAUUAGCUAGAUGGCGGGGUAACGGCCCACCAUGGCGACGAUCAGUAGCCGGUCUGAGAGGAUGAACGGCCACAUUGGGACUGAGAUACGGCCCAGACUCCUACGGGAGGCAGCAGCGGGGAAUCUUCCGCAAUGGACGAAAGUCUGACGGAGCAAUGCCGCGUGAGUGAUGAAGGUUUUCGGACCGUAAAGCUCUUUGUUUAUGACGAAUGUGCAUGAUGUGAACAAUGUUGUGUAAUGACGGUAGUAACGAAUAAGCCACGGCUAACUACGUGCCAGCA
rnacentral:rRNA from 1 species